rnacentral:rRNA from 1 species
CCAAUAGCGUAUAUUAAAGUUGUUGCAGUUAAAAAGCUCGUAGUUGAAUUUCGGGAUCAAGAAAUCGGUCAUGCCUCGGUAUGUACUGGUUUUAUUGGUUCUCACCUUCUAAAGAACCAUAAUGUCAUUCAUUUGGUGUUAUGGGGAAUUAGGACUGUUACCUUGAAAAAAUUAGAGUGUUUAAAGCAAGCUUACGCUUGAAUACAUUAGCAUGGAAUAA